UUGACAUUGUCACUGAAGAAACAGCUGAUGUCGGCUUACAAUCUGGAGUCCAUCAAGGCUGUUGCAUGGGGUAUCACUCAUGAAGAUGAUGCUUUGAGAAAGUAUGAAAAGGACUUUGAUGCAGCUGUAGAGCAGUCAGGAUAUGGUUGCAUGAAUCCGGAGUGUUGGGAGCUUCACCUGAUGGCUUAGUUGUUCGACCACCAACAUGCAGUGUAUUUUAUCAAACUCCAGAAGCCAAAGACGCCAUUCCUGAUAUUGUAGAGGUGAAGUGUCCAUAUACAGCAUCGUCUUCAACAGUAGCAGAUGGGGCACAAAAUUUGAAGGAUUUUUCAUAGAUCUUAAACAAGAUACCCUGUGCCUGAAAACCAGUCACCCG